CCCAUUCAGCUUGUGUUCUUUCUGGUCCAUGACCUUAUCUACACUCUCCGAUUCCUUGAAGAGCACAAAGCCAAAGCCUCUUGAUCGCCCAGUGAUGGGAUCCAGCUUCAGAGUGCAGUCUACGACUUCACCAAAUUUAGAGAAGUAGUCCUUCAGAUCUUUCUUGGUAGUGUCCCAGCUGAGGCCACCAAUAAACAUUUUCCCCUCGUCCUCCUCGUUCUUGCUGGCGUCGAUCUUCGCUCCCUCCGACUCACCCCCGCCGCCACCGCCGCCGCCGCCCGCCCCGUCGCCGUCUGCCGCCCCGCUCCCCGCCAGCCCCUCGGGCUGCGCCGGCUGUUCCGCAGGGCCGCCCCCGGGGCCGGCCGCCGCCGAGUCCAUGGCGAACUGCUGCUCCGACAUGGCGCCGCUGCCCCGAGCCGGCCCCGUUGCCGCUUCCCCCGCCGGAGGCGCCGGCCCCGCUGGCGGCCCGAGCGCCCCGAACCCUCCUUCUUCUCCCAGCCGCUUUAUUUUAAUGGCGCCG
rnacentral:lncRNA from 1 species